UUGAACGCUGGCGGCAGGCCUCACCCAUGCAAGUCGCGCGGAUGAAGGGAGCUUGCUCCUGGAUUCAGCGGCGGACGGGUGAGUAAUGCCUAGGAAUCUGCCUGGUAGUGGGGGAUAACGUCCGGAAACGGGCGCUAAUACCGCAUACGUCCUGAGGGAGAAAGUGGGGGAUCUUCGGACCUCACGCUAUCAGAUGAGCCUAGGUCGGAUUAGCUAGUUGGUGGGGUAAAGGCCUACCAAGGCGACGAUCCGUAACUGGUCUGAGAGGAUGAUCAGUCACACUGGAACUGAGACACGGUCCAGACUCCUACGGGAGGCAGCAGUGGGGAAUAUUGGACAAUGGGCGAAAGCCUGAUCCAGCCAUGCCGCGUGUGUGAAGAAGGUCUUCGGAUUGUAAAGCACUUUAAGUUGGGAGGAAGGGCAGUAAGUUAAUACCUUGCUGUUUUGACGUUACCAACAGAAUAAGCACCGGCUAACUUCGU
rnacentral:rRNA from 1 species